rnacentral:rRNA from 1 species
AGGACGAACGCUGGCGGCGUGCUUAACACAUGCAAGUGGUGCGACGAACCAGGGCUUGCCCUGGGGCAAAGCCGCGAACGGGUGAGUAACACGUGAGUAAUCUGCCCCGAUGACCGGGACAACCCGAGGAAACUCGGGCUAAUACCGGAUGUGGUGCCUUGGCGUAAGCCUUUGCACUAAAGGAAGCUUCGGCCUCCGCAUUGGGAGGAGCUCGCGGCCCAUUAGCUUGUUGGUGGGGUAACGGCCUACCAAGGCGACGAUGGGUAGCUGGUCUGAGAGGACGAUCAGCCACACUGGGACUGAGACACGGCCCAGACUCCUACGGGAGGCAGCAGUGGGGAAUCUUGCGCAAUGGGCGAAAGCCUGACGCAGCAACGCCGCGUGGAGGACGAAGGCUUUCUGAGUUGUAAACUCCUUUCAGCAGGGACGAUAGUGACGGUACCUGCAGAAGAAGCACCGGCCAACUACGCGCCAGCAGCCGCGGU